rnacentral:rRNA from 1 species
UACAGAGGUCUCAAGCGUUGUUCGGAUUCAUUGGGCGUAAAGGGUGCGUAGGCGGCGCGGUAAGUCGGGGGUGAAAUCUCGGAGCUUAACUCCGAAACUGCAUUCGAUACUGCCGUGCUUGAGGACUGGAGAGGAGACUGGAAUUUCCGGUGUAGCGGUGAAAUGCGUAGAUAUCGUAAGGAAGACCAGUGGCGAAGGCGGGUCUCUGGACAGUUCCUGACGCUGAGGCACGAAGGCCAGGGGAGCAAACGGG